UACGUAGGGUGCGAGCGUUAAUCGGAAUUACUGGGCGUAAAGCGUGCGCAGGCGGUUUUGUAAGCCAGAUGUGAAAUCCCCCGGCUCAACUGGGAGAGGUCAAGGGAAACUACCGGACUAGAGUGUGGUAGGGGAUACUGGAAUUCCUGGUGUAGCGGUGAAAUGCGUAGAUAUCAGGAGGAAUACCUAUGGCGAAAGCAGGUAUCUGGGCCAUCACUGACGCUGAGCUGCGAAAGCUAGGGGAGCAAACAGG
rnacentral:rRNA from 1 species